AACCCUGGUAGUCCACGCUGUAAACGAUGUCGACUUGGAGGUUGUUCCCUUGAGGAGUGGCUUCCGGAGCUAACGCGUUAAGUCGACCGCCUGGGGAGUACGGCCGCAAGGUUAAAACUCAAAUGAAUUGACGGGGGCCCGCACAAGCGGUGGAGCAUGUGGUUUAAUUCGAUGCAACGCGAAGAACCUUACCUACUCUUGACAUCCAGAGAACUUAGCAGAGAUGCUUUGGUGCCUUCGGGAACUCUGAGACAGGUGCUGCAUGGCUGUCGUCAGCUCGUGUUGUGAAAUGUUGGGUUAAGUCCCGCAACGAGCGCAACCCUUAUCCUUUGUUGCCAGCGGUUCGGCCGGGAACUCAAAGGAGACUGCCAGUGAUAAACUGGAGGAAGGUGGGGAUGACGUCAAGUCAUCAUGGCCCUUACGAGUAGGGCUACACACGUGCUACAAUGGCAUAUACAAAGAGAAGCGACCUCGCGAGAGCAAGCGGACCUCAUAAAGUAUGUCGUAGUCCGGAUCGGAGUCUGCAACUCGACUCCGUGAAGUCGGAAUCGCUAGUAAUCGUGGAUCAGAAUGCCACGGUGAAUACGUUCCCGGGCCUUGUACACACCGCCCGUCACACCAUGGGAGUGGGUUGCAAAAGAAGUAGGUAGC
rnacentral:rRNA from 1 species